rnacentral:lncRNA from 1 species
CUGAGCUCGGCACCCACAUGGCCUGUGUAGUUCACCCGCGAGCUUUGUGAGCUGCCUUGCUGAAAUCUGUUCCGGGGUGGGAUUUAUCAGUGGAAAGAAAAAUGUAACCCUGCUCCUCAUGGUUAACACGGAUUGUUUCUUUCUCAGCUUUUAAUCUGGUCACUGGAAGGGGAUUUUAUAGUCCUUGAAAAAGAGGAGUGAUAAUUUACAUCAAGAGAGAAAUGUGGAAUUUGAAGAAAGUUGUUUCUUCAGCUUUGCAGUUCUGAAUACUUGUUUCUACUAUUGUACCAAGACAGACAGACAUCUUUGGAUUGUGAAUCUUGGAAUUGGGAACCCUCUUCAUCUCAACAGUCCAUAGAGAGGAUUUCUAGAAUGUGAAGUUCAGAACUUACACAUUUGCGUUUGAGUGUGAAUAUUUAUCACAAAUGCACAAGUGUUGAAUUUGCAUUUGUUCCUUUGUCCCUGGGCUAACAUCUGGGUAUUGUUGUUUCUGUAAAUGAUGCUGUUUUGUAAGCGCCUACUUGAGGUGCUAAGAGGUCCUAAUUGGAUUAAUGAAAAGCACAACAUUAGUGUCAGAGCUGAAGU